UGCAUUCCGCAACAACAACUGAUUAUAAACUGGGAUUGACAGGUUCUGCAGUGAAGACCGUAUCGAUAGGGGAUGUGGCAAUCACAGAGAUGGAAAACAACCAAUCAUCCUGGGUAAGGAGGAAAAACAGAAAUGCAAAAACCGAAAAACACCUGGUCCUUAAGGGGUUAAAGAAUUCCUUGCCUUACCUAAUUCUGGACCCAUGGCUUUUAAUAACAUCAUCCACUUGGAAAGGAGCGCUUUUGGAGCACCGUGCUUUUUGUGGAUCAUUGAUUCCCACACCUACCCCUAUCGACUAGACAUCCAGGAACGGUUCCCGUGAUGGCGAGGUUCCAGCAGCCCUUCCUCAACCACACAUCCCUCAGAGAUCGGGGAUUAAAGCAGCUAACGGUGUUGUGCCUGGGACACAACACGCUCAGGUGAGCGCAACACCUCUCAUACAUCUCUGUACACCUGAUCAACAGAAUCAUGGCACAUUAGUGCACUUCUCUUUUUUGUUUCUCUUUUCUACAUAUUCGAGUCUCAGGAGCUGUUUUGUAACACAUCCACACUAGGCAGCAUCUUCCUCGUGCUACUGUGAGCAGCCUGUGGGGCCGAAAUGCAUUACUUUGGCCUGGACUUGUCUUUGGACAUAUCUCCCAUCAAGUACAUCUGGGACAUCAUUGGUCCGCAAUUGUAUAUAGAGCUGCCAGCAGCGAAUCUUGAUGAUUUGUGUG